rnacentral:rRNA from 1 species
UACAGGGGGCGCGAGCGUUGCUCGGAAUCACUGGGCGUAAAGCGUACGCAGGCGGGUCGAUAAGUCCGUUGUGGAAACUCCCGGGGCUCAACCCCGGAAAUGCGAUGGAGACUGCCGAUCUUGAGUACGGGAGAGGGGAGCGGAAUUCCUGGUGUAGAGGUGAAAUUCGUAGAUAUCAGGAGGAACACCGGUGGCGAAAGCGGCUCCCUGGCCCGAUACUGACGCUCAUGUACGAAAGCGUGGGGAGCAAACAGG